UAGGGAAUAUUGCAAAAUGGGCGAAAGCCCGAUGCAGCAACGCCGCGUGGGCGAUGAAGGCCUUCGGGUCGUAAAGCCCUUUUUGAGGGGAUGAGGAAGGACAGUACCCUCAGAAUAAGCCUCGGCUAACUACGUGCCAGCAGCCGCGGUAAAACGUAGGAGGCGAGCGUUAUCCGGAUUUACUGGGCGUAAAGCGCGUGCAGGCGGAUUGGAGAGUUGGAUGUGAAAGCUCCCGGCUUAACUGGGAGAGGUCGUUCAAUACUUCCAGUCUUGAGUGCAGUAGAGGGCAGUGGAAUUCCGGGUGUAGUGGUGAAAUGCGUAGAUAUGCGGAGGAACACCGAUGGCGAAGGCAAUCCCCUGGGCCUGUACUGACGCUCAUGCACGAAAGCGUGGGGAGCAAACA
rnacentral:rRNA from 1 species